AAACCAGCACCUCAAGUGGUCAGGAGGGUUAUUGGGCCUAAAGCAUCCGUAGCCGGCUAUGUCAGUUUUCGGUUAAAUCCAUGUGCUCAACACAUGGGCUGUCGAGAAUACUACAUAGCUAGGGAGUGGGAGAGGUAGAUGGUACUCGGUAGGAAGGGGUAAAAUCCUUUGAUCUAUUGAUGACCACCAGUGGCGAAGGCGGUCUACCAGAACACGUCCGACGGUGAGGGAUGAAAGCUGGGGGAGCAAACCGGAUUAGAAACCCGAGUAGUCC
rnacentral:rRNA from 1 species